GUGAAUCAUCAAAUCUUUGAACGCAAAUUGCACUCUCUUCGGAGAGUAUGAAUGUUUGAGGGUCAGAAUAAAAAAAAUCGACAUAGUUGUUGUUAAGCGGUAACAUUCGUCGGAAAGUGGGUUAUGUGAAACCUUUGGGUUUAAGCGGAUGAAAAUGUUCUUGACGAGGACAAGAACGGGGCGAAGAGGGGAGGUGAGGAGACGG
rnacentral:misc_RNA from 1 species